rnacentral:tRNA from 1 species
UAUUUAAAUAGCUUAAAUUAAGAGUAUAAUAUUGAAGAUAUUAGGGUGAUUAUUAAAUCUUUAAAUAA